rnacentral:rRNA from 1 species
UACGUAGGGUGCGAGCGCUAAUCGGAAUUACUGGGCGUAAAGCGUGCGCAGGCGGUUUUGUAAGCCAGAUGUGAAAGCCCCGGGCUCAACCUGGGAAUGGCAUUUGGGACUGCAAGGCUUGAGUUUGGCAGAGGAGACUGGAAUUCCUGGUGUAGCAGUGAAAUGCGUAGAUAUCAGGAGGAAUACCGAUGGCGAAGGCAGGUCUCUGGGCUAUAACUGACGCUCAUGCACGAAAGCGUGGGGAGCAAACAGG